rnacentral:rRNA from 1 species
AUUGAACGCUGGCGGCAUGCCUUACACAUGCAAAUCGAACGGUAACGGGCCUUCGGGUGCCGACGAGUGGCGAACGGGUGCGUAAUACAUCGGAACGUGCCCGAUCGUGGGGGAUAACGAGGCGAAAGCUUUGCUAAUACCGCAUACGAUCUACGGAUGAAAGCAGGGGACCGCAAGGCCUUGCGCGGACGGAGCGGCCGCUGGCAGAUUAGGUAGUUGGUGGGAUAAAAGCUUACCAAGCCGACGAUCUGUAGCUGGUCUGAGAGGAUGAUCAGCCACACUGGGACUGAGACACGGCCCAGACUCCUACGGGAGGCAGCAGUGGGGAAUUUUGGACAAUGGGCGCAAGCCUGAUCCAGCCAUGCCGCGUGCAGGAUGAAGGCCUUCGGGUUGUAAACUGAUUUUGUACGGAACGAAAAGCCUUCUUUUAAUACAGGAGGGUCAUGACGGUACCGUAAGAAUAAGCACCGGCUAACUACGUG